GUGAGUCAUCGAGUCUUUGAACGCACAUUGCACCCUCUGGUAUUCCAGAGGGUAUGCCUGUUUGAGUGUCAUUAAUCUAUCAACACAGACUGGUUUUACCACUUGUUCUGAUGUUUGGAUGUUGAAGGCUUGCCGGCAUUCAUUGCCAGCUCCUUUUAAAUGCAUUAUGCAGAAACUUACAAAGCUGGCUUCAGUUUGAUAAUAAUAUUUUAUCUGCAUUGCUGUUGCUAGUGAUGGUUAAUUGUUUCAGCUUCCAAUUGUCCUUAUGGGGACUGUCUCACUAGAGGGCAUAAUACUUGACAGUUGACCUCAAAUCAGGUAGGACUACCCGCUGAACUUAAGCAUAUCAAUAAGGCGAGG
rnacentral:rRNA from 1 species